rfam:Roseburia hominis A2-183, complete genome.
UGAUAGCGUUGAAGCGUGAGGUUGCUGCAGAGCAUUGCAGGUUUUCCGUGGAGCGAAUGUCAAGUUAGGAAACUGGCGACAA